CUACGGCCAUAUCACGAUGAAACAUCGGUUCACGUACGAUCACCGUAGUUAAGCAACGUCGACCCUUGUCAGUAUCUAGAUGGGUGACCGCUUGGGAAUACCAGGUGCUGCAGG
rnacentral:rRNA from 1 species